CCCGUAAUCCGGGGCAGAGUCAGUAAGGUACAGAACAGCAGGCAGGCUCACUGUCAGGGCAGGCAGAGGCCCGUAAUCCAGGGCAGAGUCAGUAAGGUACAGAACAGCAGGCAGGCUCACUGUCAGGGCAGGCAGAGGCCCGUAAUCCAGGGCAGAGUCAGUAAGGUACAGAACAGCAGGCAGGCUCACUGUCAGGGCAGGCAGAGGCCCGUAAUCCAGGGCAGAGUCAGUAAGGUACAGAACAGCAGGCAGGCUCACUGUCAGGGCAGGCAGAGGCCCGUAAUCCAGGGCAGAGUCAGUAAGGUACAGAACAGCAGGCAGGCUCACUGUCAGGGCAGGCAGAGGUUCGUAAUCUGGUCAGAGUCAGGCAGGUACAGAACAGCAGGCAGGCUCGCUGUCAGGGCAGGCAGAGGUCCGUAAUCUGGUCAGAGUCAGUAAGGUACAGAACAGCAGGCAGGCUCACUGUCAGGGCAGGCAGAGGUCCGUAAUCUGGUCAGAGUCAGUAAGGUACAGAACAGCAGGCAGGCUCACUGUCAGGGCAGGCAGAGGUCCGUAAUCUGGUCAGAGUCAGGCAGGUACAGAACAGCAGGCAGGCUCGCUGUCAGGGCAGGCAGAGGUUCGUAAUCUGGUCAGAGUCAGGCAGGUACAGAACAGCAGGCAGGCUCGCUGUCAGGGCAGGCAGAGGUUCGUAAUCUGGUCAGAGUCAGUAAGGUACAGAACAGCAGGCAGGCUCGCUGUCAGGGCAGGCAGAGGUCCGUAAUCUGGUCAGAGUCAGUAAGGUACAGAACAGCAGGCAGACUCGCUGUCAGGGCAGGCAGAGGUUCGUAAUCUGGUCAGAGUCAGGCAGGUACAGAACAGCAGGCAGGCUCACUGUCAGGGCAGGCAUAGGUUCGUAAUCUGGUCAGAGUCAGGCAGGUACAGAACAGCAGGCAGACUCGCUGUCAGGGCAGGCAGAGGUUCGUAAUCUGGUCAGAGUCAGUAAGGUACAGAACAGCAGGCAGGCUCACUGUCAGGGCAGGCAGAGGUUCGUAAUCUAGUCAGAGUCAGUAAGGUACAGAACAGCAGGCAGGCUCGCUGUCAGGGCAGGCAGAGGUUCGUAAUCUGGUCAGAGUCAGUAAGGUACAGAACAGCAGGCAGACUCGCUGUCAGGGCAGGCAUAGGUUCGUAAUCUGGUCAGAGUCAGGCAGGUACAGAACAGCAGGCAGGCUCACUGUCAGGGCAGGCAUAGGUUCGUAAUCUGGUCAGAGUCAGGCAGGUACAGAACAGCAGGCAGGCUCACUGUCAGGGCAGGCAGAGGUUCGUAAUCUGGUCAGAGUCAGUAAGGUACAGAACAGCAGGCAGGCUCGCUGUCAGGGCAGGCAGAGGUUCGUAAUCUGGUCAGAGUCAGUAAGGUACAGAACAGCAGGCAGGCUCGCUGUCAGGGCAGGCAGAGGUUCGUAAUCUGGUCAGAGUCAGUAAGGUACAGAACAGCAGGCAGGCUUGGGGUCAUUGCAGGCAGAGGUUCGUAAUCUGGUCAGAGUCAGUAAGGUACAGAACAGCAGGCAGGCUCACUGUCAGGGCAGGCAGAGGUUCGUAAUCUAGUCAGAGUCAGGCAGGUAAAGAACAGCAGGCAGGCUCGCUGUCAGGGCAGGCAGAGUUUCGUAAUCUGGUCAGAGUCAGGCAGGUAGAGAACAGCAGGCAGAAUGGUAAAAACAGGGAAAAACUAGAAAAACAAGGGCUAGAGAGAAAUACACUGGUAGGUAAGACGAACUGGCAACAGACAAACAGAAAAUACAGGCAUAAAUACACAAGGGACACCUGGCGGAGGGUGGAGACAAGCACAAGAUAGGUGAA